rnacentral:rRNA from 1 species
UACAGAGGGUGCGAGCGUUAAUCGGAAUUACUGGGCGUAAAGCGCACGUAGUCGGCUUUGCAAGUCGGGUGUGAAAUCCCCGGGCUCAACCUGGGAACUGCAUCCGAGACUGCAUUGCUAGAGUAUGGGAGAGGGAAGCGGAAUUUCUGGUGUAGCAGUGAAAUGCGUAGAUAUCAGAAGGAAUACCGAUGGCGAAGGCAGGUCUCUGGGCUGACACUGACGCUGAGGAGCGAAAGCGUGGGGAGCGAACAGG